ACGUAAUACCUGGAAGCAGCUUCCCUGUCCUAAGCACUCUGCCCCUGCCAGAGUUGAAAUUUUCCUUGGACUAUGUACUGACAAGGGACACGAGGGAUACCAGCAGAGAAAGGCAGAGCCAUUGUCCCCCUGCAGAACACCGCAAUAACACCGCAGUCACUUUGUUGCCAACAGCCCAGCCUGAUUCUGUGAGUGUCUGGCAAAAGGUAAGGCUUGCAGCUAUCGUGACUGGGGACUACGAGGGGGCAGAACUCAUUGAUGUGCCCAUGUCGGGGGGGCUGGGAGCCUGAGGAUGGGACACUGGGAGUUUAUCCAGUAAUAAGAGGCAACAGAACAACUUCUGACAAGUAUACUCCUUUUCAAUGGCCAGUUCUCUCCAAACCGCAUCAGCAUGUGGCCAAACACAGUUUAGGUUCUACUGCCGUUGCUAAUAUGCUACGAUUCCUAACCACUGAGAAAGUAACUCCCUUUGAUAUAAUGCAACUAGCAAAAUUAAUGUUUACAACAGUUCAAUAUAUGGUGUUCAAAUCUGCAUGGAAAAGCAGUGCUAAUAAACAGGAGUUAAAAAAUCUAAAGGUUCUGUGAGAGGACCCAUGUUAUGAGGCAGGGGUCCUUCAACUUCUAGGUCUACAGCCAGCAGGAGAUCCAAGACUCCAGGCCAGGCUACAUCCAUUAAUACUAGCACAGCUGAAGGAAUUGGGACUGCAGGUACUGUUUAAAGUAACUAACAUGGCAAACCCGACCCAAACAUAUUCCAAAAUCGGACAAGGAGUUGAAGAACCGUAUAUAGAGAGAUUACAAGAUGCUAUGGAAAAACAAAUUGUUAAUGUUAGGGUCAGAAAUAACUAAUUUUACAAUAAGUAAAGGACGAUGCCAAUGAGGACUGCCAAAAGGUUAUAGAACUGCUCCCUAAUGAAAAUCCAUCACUAAAUGAAUUGAUAAAUGCCUGUGCUAAGGUUGGAUCUAAUUCUCAUAACAUGACCAUGUUAGCAGAGUCCAUAGGAGCUGCUAUAAAGGUAGCACCUCAUUGCUACAAAUGCGGAUAACAAGGCCACCUGAAUGUAAACUGUCCCUAAAAGUCCUUUCCACAGGGGAUGUUUCAAGGACAGAAGGGAGCAAAUGAAAGUUGCAACCGAUGUGGCAAGAUCGGACAUGUGACCAAGGUAUGCAGGUCCAAAUUUCAUGCUAAUGGUUAAUCUCUCAAGAACCAGGGAAACAGGAAACCGAGCACAAAAGGGAAAUGCAUGAUGACACAAGUAAUUUCCCAUCCCCCAGUACAUACCUGUGUGACCAACUCACAGCAAGGACAAGAGAAUCAGCUGUCAUGGAUGUUUUUACCUCAAUCACAAGAACCAUAAACUCCUCAAAGGUACAUAAGGUCCAUCUCGAGGCUCAGGGGCCUAUUGGGAAAGGAUUGAGUGCACUGUUAAUUGGAAGGUCCAGUGCCACAAUUCAAGGUAUCAUUGUGCACCCUGGCGUUGUUGACACAGAUUUUACUGGACAAAUACAUGCAAUGGUUUCCACCCCUACUCCACCCGUGACUCUCCCUGAAAAAAACAGAAUCACUUAACUUAUCCCUUUUAAGUCUUCUGUCCCCAAAACAGAUUCUAAGGAGUGAGGAGACCAAGGCUUCAGAGCAACAGGACAGCCCCAGGUGAACUGGACUGAGGUCGUAGAAGAUCAAAGACCUAACAUGGUUUGUAUUAUUACAAUGCCUAAAGCAAAGCCUUCGCAGAUAAAGGUCAGUGGGAUAAUUGACACAGGGGCAGACGCCACUAUCAUCUCUACCAACAUGGGGCCUUCAUUGUGGCAUACUACACCAGAGCGAUCUGCUGUUGCUAGCUUUGGAGGGACCACACAGAGCUGCUUGAGCAGAAAUCCUGUGUUGAUCAAAAAUCCUGAGGGCCAAACAGUUACAGUCUGGCCUUACAUCACUGCUGCACCACUGAACCUGUGGGGGAGGGAUGUUUUGUCUGCAUGGGGAGUCUGGGUGGGGACAGAUUUUUACAGGGGCCACUGUAUUAGAGGGUGUACACUAUCCCACAUUAGCUCUAAAAUGGUUCAGUGUGGGUACCACAGUGGCCCCUCGAAAAAGAGAAGUUACAUGUCCUUAAGUCUUUGGUACAGGAAGAACUGGUUCAAGGACACAUAGAACCAUCUCUGAGCCCUUGGAACACCCUGGUUUUUGUCAUAAAAAAGAAAUCUGUUGCAAGGACAGAGACUAAGACCCUGAAGACUGACUGGAAUUCUGGCCUGGUUGAGGGUUGAUGCUCGCCAACUGAUUGUUUGCAGAAGAUUCCUCAUCUGCCUUACGACCACUGUCAAGGAUGGAGAAUUGAAGCCCCCUCCCAAGGACUGAGACCCUUAAAAUUCUAACACAGGGGCACUGGCCUGACUGAAGCAGAAUGUCUGCCAAGUGUUGUCUGCAGAUGUGUUCGCUGGACCAAGACUGGUUUCCCAUAGAAACCAGUCCUGAAACAAUGGGUCCUGAACUGGACUGUCUGCACUUGUUCUCUACAGACUUAUUUUCCAUUGUAUUUUACCUGUUCCCCCUCAGCAGAGGACUAUAAUAGACCCCUGAGUUAACCAAGACUUUGAGAUUCUCCCUGAUGAGACAAGAUGGAUCCAUUGGCCAGACCACAAGGAUUUUGUCUCUCCGUUGGUAGCUAUACCCUUUCUUUUCUUUCUCUCUCUCUCUCAAUAUCCUUUAUCUCCUUUCUAAAUCCUUCUAUCACAUUUGCUGUGGGCACUCAGUAAAAGGUGCAUUUGUUUUGAUUAAUACUGAAAUCCCCUCUGUGUUGCUUUUUGCACUCUGAGAUCGGUAAAACAAACCAUCGUGACUCCCGCUUGUACUAGCGGAUUGUGACACUGGUAGUUGAGUUUUUUCUAACAGUUCUAAGGGUUAAGUGGUUUCUUGUUUUUAGAGUUAAGUUGUAACUUGAAACUAUAAGUAGUUAACCUGCGGCAUGUUAGCCUGAAGGAUUGUGAUCUUGCCUAACAGCUCCUGGAAGUGAGUGCUGCAACUCCAGUGGUACAUAGAACACAUCGCUAGCUGGGGAAGCUAGGUCUGUCAAAUUCAGUACAAGGCCUCAUUCAAAUUAGACUCAUGCUGUCUGUGUCAUCCUACCUUCAAAGAGCCCUUGCAGGUCUGGCUUCAGGUUUGAGAGUAACUCUCACCAGUUUGACCAUCUUUGAUCAUCCAGGCAUCUCAGUUGCCCGUACCAACAAGGUUACAGCAUUCUCUGCCUCCUCUGGGAUUUCUUCUACCUCUAUGGCUUUUGAUUCAGCUAGUAGGGUCUGCUCUGACCCUUGGACCUGUCUGCAAGCAGAUGUUACUGUUUCAUCAAAAGGGGAUUACCUUCAGUCCGGCCACACCACUGUUUUCCAGUUGUUCAGUAACUAAGGUAUCUCAAAGCUUGCUUUCAUUUCAAUCUCGCUUAUAGUUUCUAUAUUCUCAAAAUCUUUUGCCAGACAAUCAUAUUUAUAAGGCUUUCCUGUUUUAUCUUCCCCAACACUUCUAUCCUAAACUCCUGGCUGCAUAUUGCCCUCUUCUUUCCCUCUUGGCUGAGGUACUAGGAAAGUACAGCUCUCCCAAAACGCCUACCUCACAUUCUCCCCUUAAACCUAUCAUUUUCCCCUGUAGGUGUAACAGACUGGUCAGAGAGAGAGAAAGCUAGUUAAACAUUCCCAUGAGUUGGUCUGGGAGGCUUUAGGAAGCUGGAGAGAAAUAAUGAUAAUGAAAUGAAAACAAUCCACAGGUGGUGUUCUGUAACAAACUGUUUUCCUCAUAAAGAGGGCAUCUUCUUAAUUAACCAAUCAUGUGAAAUGCAUUGAUUAAAUGACCAAUCGGGUCCACCUGUAGCAACUAGGGUAUAAAAAAGGGAGAGGAUCAAAUAACUGAGGCUUUUACCAUUUGCCUUCUAAUACAACUGUGUCAUCUCUGACUCAACAGUGACAUUCCCCCAGAGUUCAGAAGUUCAAACUAUCUGGGUUCUGCACUAGACUUUGCACAGACACAUUUGUCUAUUACUCUAAAGUUCAGGAGUUCAAACUGUAAUCAAGCUGUCGGGGUUCUGUAACAAACUUGCAGCUUGAGGUUGGUAGAGACAUUAAGACCCAUUUCAAAGGCAUAAACACCUAUCUCUCCUAAAGACCCUCAGUUGCUUGUAAAGACAUUAGCACCCAUCUUUCCUAUCAGUCCCAUCUGGGUCACCAAAAUUGUUACUAAAAAUUGGUAAAAAUAAAAACUCCUUAACACUAAUGUAGCAUUAAGAAGCAGGCAUUCUUUAUUCAGCCAGACGCACAAGGGGAUAUCGCCUCCAAAAUACUGUGCAUGCUGAGUACCCAAAAAAUUCCUGAUUAUAUACUAUGUUUUACAUACAUUUUCAUUGAUUUUCCUGGACUAGGCAUACAUGUGAUACACGUUUCCCCAAAAUCAUAACAUAUGUUUUCUCCACUUUACGCAUGUGUUCUGUCCUGGGGGUCUCUUUGGUGGUCCCUGGUAGUCAGUGACCCGAAAGUCAUACCUGACUGCCUGGUGAACUGGUAAAAGUUGGCACAGCUUGGCUGGUUUCUUUCCAGUUCUUCCUACAGAAUAAUCAUUGUGUGGUUCCAUAGGCCAGUGGCUUUUGAAGAAUAAGCAUUGCAUUAACUCACCAGAAGCAAAUCAUCUGGCAACAGUCCCAGGGGAGGUACCUGGGCAUUUCCACAUGAACCUGAGUGAAUAUAAACCCAAGAGAUUUUGUGUUCUGUGGACUUUCCCAGGGAUUUUCCCCCACUACUUCUUUGGGACUUCCCCACCACCAGAUAAAUUGUAGAGGUUUGAGCUUGGCUGGCUGCCAGCUGUCCACUAAGCUGCUCUAUCACUCUCCUUCCCAGUGGGACCGGGGAGAGAAUAAGAUGGAAAACAACUCAUAGGUUGAGAUAAGGCAGUUUACUAAAGCAAAGGAAAAAAAAAAAAAACAAGCAAAAGUUUGCACAUGCAAAAGCAAAGGGAAAAGUUAAUAUCUACUUCUGUUCUGGUUUGAAAGCAAAACCAGUGAGAGACUCCAAGUCAGAAAUACAAUUUAUUAGGAAAAGGGAAAAAGAAAACCAAAAUACAUGCAAUAAUACAAAAGAAAAACCACUGACAAAGUCAGAAUACAACCUGACACCCUGUUGGUCAGGGUGUUGGUAGCAGUCCAGUUGGAUUGGUGGCUGCAGUCCUC